AUGCGCUUGGGCUCCCUGGUGAAAAAGCAAAAUACAAAAUUCGAUUCAAACUGUGAUUACAUCUAUGGAAAAUACAGCCUUUGCCGACCACUCUCUUUGUCCCGCCGCCCUCUGUGCUCUCUGUUUUGUGUACGGAGUUUCUUACUUUGUACAAGUCCGCAGCCGCUUAUGUUACAGCCCCGAGGCCAGAUGUGUUUAAAAUCGAGGAGUUUUCGGAGUUUGGAAAGUUCGUUCCCACAUGCAGGGCAGCACAAGGAGAAUGGGCGUCAUGACUGAUGUCCACCGGCGCUUCCUCCAGUUGCUGAUGACCCAUGGCGUGCUAGAGGAAUGGGACGUGAAGCGCUUGCAGAGGCACUGCUACAAGGUCCAUGACCGUAUGUCCUUCAUCUCUCUGACCUCUGAGAAAGAGAAGCAGCGAUCCUUUCUGGCUCGCCUCUGCAGUGGUUGCUGAGGGUCUGCUGAGAGGCAAUGCCACCGUAGAUAAGUUGGAGGACUUCAUCAACAACAUUAACAGUGUCUUGGAGUCCUUGUAUAUUGAGAUAAAGAGAG
rnacentral:sRNA from 1 species